rnacentral:rRNA from 1 species
AUGGCCCUAUUCGAGGAAUUCUAUGUGGGCUCGAUAGACCUCUCUCGCCUUUACUAUGGGAUUAUCACCCUCAUCCCCAAGGUCCCGGUUGCUUCGGACAUUCACCAGUUCUGUCUGAUCACGAUGAUCAACGUGAUCUUCCACAUUCUGGCUAAGGGGUACGCCAACAGGGUGACCCAGCUGGCGAACCGUAUCACCCAUCCAAAUCAGUUGGCCUUCAUCCAAGAUCGGUAUAUCUUGGAUGGUGUCUUGGUCCUCCACGAAGUCCUGCACGAGGUGCGCAUUAGGAGACAACAUGCGGUCUUCUUGAAGAUCGAUUUCCAUAAGGCCUACGACAUGGUAUCUUGGUCCUUCUUCCGGGAAGUUCUACUCCGGAAGGGUUUCGAUGAUCGAUGGGUCACCCGGAUCAUGCAGAUGGUCUCGUCUGGGUGCACCGCAGUUAACAUUAAUGGGGAGAUUGGACCCUUCUUUCCCACCCUCUGUGGGGUAAGGCAAGGCGAUCCCUUCUCCUCCUUCCUGUUCCACAUGGUGGUCGACGCCCUAGCUACCAUCCUAGAUAUGGCUAAGGCAGCAGGGCAUAUUUGUGGGGUUGUCCCGCACUUGGUGGGAGGUGGAGGGGUCUCCCACCUACAAUAUGCGGGCGAUACCAUUAUCAUGGAGGAGGGCUCUGAUGACGAUAUAGCCAAUUUGAAGUUCCUCCUCAUGUGCUUCUAG